GACGAACGCUGGCGGCGUGCCUAAUACAUGCAAGUAGAACGCUGAAGGAGGAGCUUGCUUCUCUGGAUGAGUUGCGAACGGGUGAGUAACGCGUAGGUAACCUGCCUGGUAGCGGGGGAUAACUAUUGGAAACGAUAGCUAAUACCGCAUAAUAGUAGAUGUUGCAUGACAUUUGCUUAAAAGAUGCAAUUGCAUCACUACCAGAUGGACCUGCGUUGUAUUAUCUAGUUGGUGGGGUAACGGCUCACUAAGGCGACGAUACAUAGUCGACCUGAGAGGGGUGUUGGCCAAACUGGGAAUGGGGCACGGCCCAGCCUCCUUCGGGAGGCAGCCGGAGGGGAUCUUCGGCAAUGGACGGAAGUCUGACCGAGCCACGCCGGGUGAGGGAAGGAGGGUUUCGGGUCGGAAAGCUCUGUUGUAAGGGAAGAAAGAGUGUGAGAGUGGACAGUUCACACUGUGACGGUAUCUAAUCAGAAAGGGACGGCUAACUACGUG
rnacentral:rRNA from 1 species